AUAUGAUGAUCCCCUUUAGAUGACGAGUCAGAUCGGCGUUAGCCAUGCUGACAAACUUAUUUUAAUACCAUUCAUGCAUUUCUGAUC
rnacentral:snoRNA from 1 species